CUUGGUCAUUUAGAGGAAGUAAAAGUCGUAACAAGGUUUCCGUAGGUGAACCUGCGGAAGGAUCAUUAAUGAAUUGAAAGGGAGUUGAUGCUGGCCAGGUCUCUGGCAUGUGCUCGCUUCCGACAAUCUUAUCCAUACACCUGUGCACACUGUGAGGGCAUGCAAGUGCCCUUAUUUACUACAUACACCUAAUAUGGAAAUCGCACGUGACUUGCGUCGUAUGGCGCUUAAAACUAAAAACAACUUUUAACAACGGAUCUCUUGGCUCUCGCAUCGAUGAAGAACGCAGCGAAAUGCGAUAAGUAAUGUGAAUUGCAGAAUUCAGUGAAUCAUCGAAUCUUUGAACGCACCUUGCGCUCCUUGGUAUUCCGAGGAGCACGCCUGUUCGAGUGUCGUGAAACUCUCAAGCUAGAUGCUUUAGUGUCAUCUACUUGGUUAUUGGACUCUGCUGUCUCCUUGUCUGGAACGGCUGGUCUCAAAUGUAUUAGCUGGUCCUUGUUGUGGGAUUUGGUUCUACUCAGCGUGAUAAUCUAUGACCGCUGAGGACAUCUCUCGGGAUGGCCAAGCCUGCCUUGGGCUGCUUCUAACUCAUCAUCAUGAUAUUUUUCAACUUUGACCUCGAAUCAGGCGGGACUACCCGCUGAACUUAAGCAUAUCAAUAAGCGGAGGA
rnacentral:rRNA from 1 species